rnacentral:rRNA from 1 species
UACAGAGGUCUCAAGCGUUGUUCGGAUUCAUUGGGCGUAAAGGGUGUGUAGGUGGCGCGCUAAGUCGGGUGUGAAAUUUCGGAGCUUAACUCCGGAAACUGCAUUCGAUACUGGCGUGCUUGAGGACUGGAGAGGAGACUGGAAUUUACGGUGUAGCAGUGAAAUGCGUAGAUAUCGUAAGGAAGACCAGUGGCGAAGGCGGGUCUCUGGACAGUUCCUGACACUGAGACACGAAGGCCAGGGGAGCAAACGGGG